UUUAAGUUACUCUGCUGCCUCUUUUUACCAAAAGGGCUAAAAGGCAUCUUCUUGGUUUUUAAACAGUAUGGAAGAAUCUGUUAAGCUCAGGAGGGAUAGCGCCAUUCUUGGUUUGGUUUUAGACCAUGUAUUGCGCUAUCCAUCCUGAGUUUCAUGGCUUCUUCUUGCUCUCUCUCUCUCUCUCUCUCUCUCUCUCUUCUUUGCAGCCAAGCCAAGGGAUUGAAACUUGUGGCCUUGUUGUUGCAAUAUCGGGAAUGAAUGAGAGGAUUGAGAUGAGGGCCAACCAUGAGUAGAAUUAGUUGCCAAGGCUCUUUGGUCAAGCAGAUUUUUACCCUGUGAAACACUUACAUGAAACGAAGAUAUCAUUAUUUUGAUAUUCCUAGCCAAUCACAGUAUUGAUAAUUUCGAUUGAUAGAGGAUAGCAAAACAGUAUUAUCUCCAUUUUAUACAAGUUUUUUUUGACUAUUUUGAGAGCCUAUGAAGAAUCUUCACUUGUCCAAUCUACCUGUUCAAGUUUGACUUAAUGUACCACAAGGUGGAAGGAAAAGUACUUCUUUUUAUGCAUUAUACUGGAUAUGAAAUCAAUUUUAGUUAUGGACA